AACGAUCAUAUCACUUUGAAACACCGGUUCUUUGUACGAUCACCGAAGUUAAGCAACGUCAAGCAUAGUUAGUACAUAGAUGGGUGACCGCUCAGGAAUAGCCUUUGCUGUAAG